UGGGGAAUAUUGCACAAUGGGCGCAAGCCUGAUGCAGCCAUGCCGCGUGUAUGAAGAAGGCCUUCGGGUUGUAGAGUACUUUCAGUCGGGAGGAAGGUGGUAAGGUUAAUAACCUUAUCAAUUGACGUUACCGACAGAAGAAGCACCGGCUAACUCCGUGCCAGCAGCCGCGGUAAUACGGAGGGUGCAAGCGUUAAUCGGAAUUACUGGGCGUAAAGCGCACGCAGGCGGUUGAUUGAGUCAGAUGUGAAAUCCCCGGGCUUAACCCGGGAAUUGCAUCUGAUACUGGUCAGCUAGAGUCUUGUAGAGGGGGGUAGAAUUCCAUGUGUAGCGGUGAAAUGCGAAGAGAUGUGGAGGAAUACCGGUGGCGAAGGCGGCCCCCUGGACAAAGACUGACGCUCAGGUGCGAAAGCGUGGGGAGCAAACAGG
rnacentral:rRNA from 1 species